GAUAUUGGACAAUGGGGGCAACCCUGAUCCAGCCAUGCCGCGUGUGUGAAGAAGGUCNNNGGUUUNUAAAGCACUUUAAGUUGNGAGNAAGGUCUUUAGGCUAAUACCCUGAAGUUUUGACGUUACCAACAGAAUAAGCAUCGGCUAACUCUGUGCCAGCAGCCGCGGUAAUACAUAGGGUGCAAGCGUUAAUCGGAAUUACUGGGCGUAAAGCGCGCGUAGGUGGUUCAGUAAGAUGGGUGUGAAAUCCCCGGGCUUAACCUGGGAACUGCUUUCAUAACUGCUGAGCUAGAGUACGGUAGAGGGUAGUGGAAUUUCCUGUGUAGCGGUGAAAUGCGUAGAUAUAGGAAGGAACACCAGUGGCGAAGGCGACUACCUGGACUGAUACUGACACUGAGGUACGAAAGCGUGGGGAGCAAACA
rnacentral:rRNA from 1 species